GGCCCAAAUUUGAAGUAGAGUAGAUCAGUAGUAUCAGCUGACCCUGCUAAUCUACUGUGCUUCAAAUUUGGGCCC
rfam:Haemonchus contortus, ISE/inbred ISE, WGS project CAVP01000000 data, contig: Hcontortus_28480